GUACAGCAGACAGCAGUGAUGGCUAAAAGAAAGAAUACGGAAAGCCGCCCAUUAUACGUAACUCUAAUAUGGAUGACACUUGCAGGACUGUGUUCUGGUGACUUCGUGUCACAGAUUCCACAUGUUCAAAAGGCUGAAGAAGGACGGAACGUUACGCUAAAUUGCUCGUACAACACCUCAAGCACUAAUGCUGUUUAUCUGCAGUGGUACCAGCACUAUCCCACCGCAGCCCCACGCUACCUUCUUCAGAGAUAUUCCACAGGUGGUGGAGAUGAACUCGGCGUAAAAGACGGCAGAUUUUCUGCUGACCUGAACCAUUCCAAGCGGUUUACACAGUUAACAUUGCGAGAAGUAAAACUGUCUGACACUGCCGUGUACUACUGUGGUCUGAGAACCACAAUGCAUCAGGGCUGUUACUUGGUGUGCACAAAACCAGAAUAG